UUGAACGCUGGCGGCAUGCUUUACACAUGCAAGUCGAACGGUAACAGGGAGCUUGCCCUGCUGACGAGUGGCGAACGGGUGAGUAAUGCAUCGGAACGUACCCAGUCGUGGGGGAUAACGAAGCGAAAGCUAAGCUAAUACCGCAUACGUCCUGAGGGAGAAAGCGGGGGACCGUAAGGCCUCGCGCGAUUGGAGCGGCCGAUGUCGGAUUAGCUAGUUGGUGGGGUAAAGGCCUACCAAGGCGACGAUCCGUAGCGGGUCUGAGAGGAUGAUCAGCCACACUGGGACUGAGACACGGCCCAGACUCCUACGGGAGGCAGCAGUGGGGAAUUUUGGACAAUGGGGGCAACCCUGAUCCAGCCAUGCCGCGUGAGUGAAGAAGGCCUUCGGGUUGUAAAGCUCUUUCAGACGGAAAGAAAUCGCAUAGGCGAAUACCC
rnacentral:rRNA from 1 species